UUCUGUAUUAUGUAUUUUUGUCAACGCCAAUAAAUUUCUUUGAUUUGUAUUUCUUUUCAACAUUCUUUUAUUUUCUUUUUUUUUUUCUUUGAAAUUUUGUUUACAUUUUUAUUUGUGUAAUGGGAAAUACCGUCACUAGCUCUUGGGCCAGGGAAUGAGAGGCUAUGUAGAUAUUCAUUAUUUGGUUAAAUUGACCUUAAUUAAUUAAAAAUCUACCCAAAAUGAGCCAGGAAACAAAGCCUUUGGGAGUUACUUUUAUUUAGAUAUAAUAUUCCAUAUAGCAGAGUCACGAUUCAUUUUCACAUUUUUAUUUGAAUGUGAAAGUCAACCUCAGCCUUAGAAGAUGUAAGAUUUGUGUGUGAAAUAUCAAGCACUCCAUGUCCUCCUCUAGAGAGUGUGACUUAAGUCCAGAUGGUCCAAGACCAUCCCCCAAAUCAUCAGCUCUGAUUGCAGGAUUCAUCAGUUUGCCGUUCUGUUGCAAUCCCAGUGGAGAUAAAAGCAUAGACCUAGAAAAAGCCUUAAGAAGGAAGGUUGCAAGUGCCCCCAGCUUGCACUUGAGGAAGGGGUAAACCUUGCCACUGCACUCCUCUGUAGCUGCUCCACUGUGAGUUGACUGCUCGGCCUUGUACACACCCCUCCUAGAAAGACGUUUAAGCCCCUAUUUCCCUUCUCUGGUGGUCAGUUCCUCUGCUCAGACGACCCCCUUCCCCACUCAUUAAGGUAAUUGGCCAGGCAGGCUCAUGGGUCACGUGCUGAGUCUGCAAUGUACAGAAUCCAGACCACCACAUGGCAUCAGCACCAUGGGUGUUUGCUCCCUGAGCAGUAGUUGUCACCCAUCAUUUGCUCUGUUUCCCCCACCAUCAGUCCCAAAGCCCUAGACUAAACCAGAGAGCAAAUUAGGUCGUGUUUGUUCCUGAAUGGGCCAACUGGAGCCUUGAGACAGUGGGCAGUGGUCUGCUCUGCUGGUUUGAUGGACGGCUCCCUGAGGUAGACUCUUUCCCAGCAGAAUGUUAAGAUCCCCAAAGGGUCCCCAAAGGUGCCUUUGCUUGUAGGGAGAAGUUUCUGUCUUGUCACAGGGUGUGGUCAUCCCCACUGUCUCCCAGUUGUUAAAAUAAUUGUUACCUUUUCUUUUGGGAAGAAAUAAUCUGUAGAUAAUGGAACCAACUGCUGCUUAUCGGUAGGAUUCCAUGUUCCAGGAAGGAUGCGGCCUGAGGGUCAGUGGAGCUGUGUUCUGCCUUCCUCCUCUAGUCCCAUCUUGUCACCCUGGAGGACUGUCUUCAAUUGAGCUUUACUAGAAAGUCUUGAAACAUGAGCCCUGCAGAGGCCUUGAUUUAGCAAGUUGUGCCCUGCUUAUAUGUGCUGAUUUAAGCUAAUCAAAUGAUUUAAUAGUGCUUUUUAAAAAAGAGUACUCCUGGCCGGGUGGGGUGGCUCACACCUGUAAUCCUAGCACUUUGGGAGGCCAAGGCAGGUGAUCACCUGAGAUCAGGAGUUCAAGACCAGCCUGGCCAACAUUGUGACACCCCGUCUAUACUAAAAAUACAAAAAUUAGCCGGGCAUGGUGGCAGGCACCUGUAAUCCCAGCUACACAGGAAGCUGAGACAGAAUUGCUUGAACCCGGGAGGCGAAGGUUGCAGUGAUCUGAGAUCAUGCCACUGCACUCCAGCCUGGGUGAAAGAGCGAUACUCCGUCUCAAAAAAAUAAAGAGUACUCUGGCCGAGUGCAGUGGCUCACGCCUGUAACCCCAGCACUUUGGGAGGCCAAGGCAGGCAGUUCGCUUGAGGUAAGGGGUUUGAGACCAGUCUGGCCAACAUGGGGAAACCCCGUUUCUACUAAAAAUACAAAAAUCAGCUGGGCAUGGUGGCAGGCGCCUGUAAUCCCAGCUACUCGGGAGGCUGAGGCAGGAGAAUCACUUGAACCCAAGAGGCGGAGGUUGCAGUGAGCCGAGCUUAUGCCACUGCACUCCAGCCUAGGCGAUGGAGUGAGGCUCUGAUUCAAAAAUAAAAAUAAGAGUACUCUGUGGACUUUUCAUAAAGUGCAACUUAGUGCUUUGUUUUUCUAAUACUAGAUUUUACUUGCAGAUAGAAAUAUAACAAUGCCACAAAUGAGAAGGCUCAAGUUGUUUAAAUACAUGUUUGCUCCUGGCUUACCUCUUCUUCACUAUCCC
rnacentral:lncRNA from 1 species